rnacentral:rRNA from 1 species
GAUCCUGGCUCAGGAUGAACGCUAGCGGCAGGCUUAAUACAUGCAAGUCGUGGGGGCAGCAUGGUGUGUAGCAAUACACACUGAUGGCGACCGGCAAACGGGUGCGGAACACGUACGCAACUUACCCUUAAGUGGGGGAUAGCCCGGGGAAACCCGGAUUAAUACCUCGUAAGAUUAUGGAGUGGCAUCACUUUAUAAUUAUAGCUCCGGCGCUUAAGGAUGGGCGUGCGUCCCAUUAGGUAGUUGGUUGAGGG